rnacentral:piRNA from 1 species
CUGGGCAGCUGGUGAUCGUUGGUC